rnacentral:rRNA from 1 species
GUAUAAGAGACAGCAGCAGCCGCGGGAAUACGGAGGAUCCAAGCGUUAUCCGGAAUCAUUGGGUUUAAAGGGUCCGUAGGCGGUCUUGUAAGUCAGUGGUGAAAGCCCAUCGCUCAACGGUGGAACGGCCAUUGAUACUGCAGGACUUGAAUUAUUGGGAAGUAACUAGAAUAUGUAGUGUAGCGGUGAAAUGCUUAGAGAUUACAUGGAAUACCAAUUGCGAAGGCAGGUUACUACCAAUUGAUUGACGCUGAUGGACGAAAGCGUGGGUAGCGAACAGGAUUAGAUACCCCUGUAGUCCCUGUCUCUUAUAC